AGUACUUUCAUUAAAAAUAACCAAUGCUGUGUUUUUCCACCAGAAGCAAUGGGAGAUUUUGCUGAGGUUGUCCAACUUGGUGGGAAAGAGAGAAUCACAACCUGAUAAUUAAAAAGGGAGCAAGGCAGAGGGGCAGUGUUCUGAAGCAAACGGACUGAGCCAACUGUUGCCAAAUUUGAUCACGAGUCGCAUUCACCAUUGAGCCAAACUCCCAGGCAGAUGCCAGAAGGUACGUGGCCAUGGAGUGCUGUAUGUUCAUCCAGGGAAUGGUCAGAUUGCCUGUGUGAAACCCCUGUGUCCUGGGCCUCUGCUGAUCCCUGUUUUAAGGCAGUGGUGUCCUGGUUUUGUGUAAGUUUUCUACAGAAGGUGAGUUUCUCUGUCAGUAAGUGGGAUUCGUGCUAUCCCUUGCUUCAUACAAACAGGAUAAGCAGUGGCCUGGGAUUUCUGAACCUCCUGUAAAUGGAAACUCAUGUCCCUCUCCUGCACUAAGCAACACGGUCUGGAUGACAAUCUCCUCUUGUCUGAGCAAGCUUAACCCUGUAGUGCCUGGUCUGUGGAGCACGCAGGGACCCUGUAGGUGGGCCCUGGGAUGGUUACAGGCUUCAUUAGCCACUGGAAGGAAUACGAUGAUAUGCAGGAAAAGGACCGUGUGAACUCAGCAAGCCACAAGUGAAGCCUCUGAGAGCACUCUGGUCUUGCUUAAAGGCUACAAAAUGUACAACUAUGAACGAAGUACAGUCUCUGCUUGGACAGGCUGAGUAAGUGGAUAUUUAGACAUAAGAAUCUGGAGAGACUGACGGAGCUGCUGAGUGAUGGAGGAGCUUCUGGAGCAGACCAAGGCACGGGAGCUUUGCCCAGUCCCUACACAGGUCACUGUGCAGGACACCAGUGUGGCAGGAGCACAUCCCUGGCCCUGGGCCUGUCUUCAUGGACCAAAUGGUAAAAUUCCCAGGAGCAGGAUGCAAACCCAGUGAACUUCUGAAGACAUUUCCUUACACAGUGUCCUGGACCAAGAGUCACUUUGAACUUAAAAAAUUGAAGAACAAGUGGUUGAUGCAGCUAUUCAUCUCUCAUGUGGUCCAUGUAGCUUAUUUUCACUCCUUCUGGAUGUCCACCAGGAGAGAAUAUGGCUCAUGCCUUUUGUACAGCUCUGAUGAUGUAAAAAAAGAUCAGUGAUGGUUUCAGCUGCACAUCCCUCUCCUGAGCAGGACUCGUGUGUUCUGGACAACCAUUGCUGUGCUCAGCAGCUGAGUCUGUGUACAGAGCUAAUCACAGAAAAAAAAUACACCAUUUCUUUGGGGAUAAUUGAAAAUGUGAGCUCUCUAUUUCCUGGCCAUCCCAAAGCAGGUGAAGAUCAGGAUAUGCACUGAGAUGCUGAAUGGACAGGCCAUGUCACCAUUAGUCAUACUUCAGAAUGAUGGUUUACUUUCAUUAUUCACUGACUGCACUGCUUCCGAUUCAGCGCUCUCCAACUCAGCAAGAUUUUCCUGUGCUAAUUCAUCUGAAUCAUUU